CCUACCUUUCCUGACUACUUGUUCCGGUCCAGCCCAGCCUUAGGGUGAGCCCCUGCGUUGGGAGUAAGACGUGCAGUGAUCGUGACACUGGCUCUAGGGUCAGCUGAGUGGCUCCAAGUCUCCAGUUGCCCCUCAGUAACUCUGUGACCUUAGACCUGUUAUUUAACUUCUGUAAGCUCAGUUUCCUUUUUUGCAAAAAGGGCUAAUAAUAGUUCCUCCCUGAAAUUGUUUCUUGAGGUGUCAUUAGGAUAACGUAUGCAGCGCGAGAUAGAUUCUAACGAUCCUGUCAUAGAGAAGCCAGGUCCUAACACCAGAAGAUUUUAACACCACGAGCCCCUGAAGACACACCUCCAUUUUUGGUGUCUUUGGUGAGAGAUUUCAGACAGGACUCCUAGGCUGUGUCAUAGAAUCUUCCAGUACCUGAGAACACAAGACUUCUCAUAGAAGUUGUUGCUAUCGCCUGGCCUUGUUCUCCUCGAGCCCUCCGUGUCGAGCAAAUGGCUUUCUCUGUACUUCUGGGAUAGUAAACCCCUCGGGCAGAGACCACUGCACUGCUACCCUCGGGAUCCUGCCGAGUACUGCGUCAGUGCUCCAUAAACAGUGACACCAUAACUCCGUCCUCACACUCAGCGGUUCUCUCUGCAAUCUGAAGCAGGUGAUAAGGACAAUAUCAUUUUUCUACUAGAUCCAUUUCGG
rnacentral:lncRNA from 1 species